rnacentral:rRNA from 1 species
AUUGAACGCUGGCGGCAUGCCUUACACAUGCAAGUCGAACGGUAACAGGUCUUCGGAUGCUGACGAGUGGCGAACGGGUGAGUAAUACAUCGGAACGUGCCCGAUCGUGGGGGAUAACGAGGCGAAAGCUUUGCUAAUACCGCAUACGAUCUACGGAUGAAAGCGGGGGAUCUUCGGACCUCGCGCGGACGGAGCGGCCGAUGGCAGAUUAGGUAGUUGGUGGGAUAAAAGCUUACCAAGCCGACGAUCUGUAGCUGGGCUGAGAGGAUGAUCAGCCACACUGGGACUGAGACACGGCCCAGACUCCUACGGGUGGCAGCAGUGGGGAAUUUUGGACAAUGGGCGAAAGCCUGAUCCAGCCAUGCCGCGUGCAGGAUGAAGGCCUUUGGGUUGUAAACUGCUUUUGUACGGAACGAAAAGCCUCUUUCUAAUAAAGAGGGGUCAUGACGGUACCGUAAGAAUAAGCACCGGCUAACUACGUG